UUGGGGUAAAAUAGUGAGUAGCUGACUUGGGGAAGUGAUCGACUCUUGGGAUAAGUUUAAAUCUGCUUUUUUUUUAACCCCAUAAACUUUUUACCGUGGGUAAAAAAAAUUCUUGCGGUAAAAAAAAACCAGAUUUAAAUUUAGCCCGAGGGUUGAUGAUGUAUUUUCCCCAAGAAAGUUGCUUACUAUUUUACCCCAA
rnacentral:pre_miRNA from 1 species